CCUAGACAGUAGUUCUAGCCAGUAGCUACAGUACUGACACAUGGAUUUAUUUUGACAGAUGUGUACCGCAGUAUACAUUUUACUAUUGUAUUUAUAUAUACCCGACACCACAAUCCGUAGUGUUUUAGGCUAUGACUUCAGAUUUCACUUGGGUUGUCGCACGCGCAGACACAGGGACAGAGGGAGUAAAGAAAAACAACCGAACUGAACAACGCUAAUGAAAUUGUUUUGGCUGACGAUAUUUUCAUAUGCUUUAGACCUUCCACGACCACGAGAGCUCCAGCUCUGACUUUCCUGGCCCAUCACAAUCAUAACGACCUAACAGCCCAGUAGGACCGAUGGCCAGAGAUGGAGGAGGAGGAAGAUAGACGCAGCAGAGGUCGGGGGUAUUGAUUAGGGAGACUCCAACAGAAUUGACGCCCUGCUAACUGCCUUGAUUCAAUCAUUGAAUUUGAAGCAAUCCCAUCGGUUACUGCAGCGUGCCCUGACCCGUGACCCCAGUUUGAUGUUCGACCUGGCACAUGACAUCUGGUCCUCAGUCACAGCCCAGUAGCACAACCAACCUGGCGCCUCUGCGCAAUCUGUAAGGAGAUGCCCAUGAACAUUGAAAGGAAAUGCUGUGGUGUUCUCAGUUUUGAUAAGACUUUGGGCUGAUGUAGGACCAGGUGAGAGAAACGGUCUCUUCAGGCAUGCAGCCUACAGACAGUAUGGGGCACUUGAACAGGGCUGACGUUGUAAUACACAGUACAAUACCCAGGAUUAGCCAGGGUUACCCUGCUCCACUAGAGCAAUAUAAAAGGUUUAUACAGAGUACGGUAUAAAACACACAAACCGGCAGUGUGCAGAGUUUUAUUAUUUUUCAUUAUCUGUAGGAGCAUUCAUCUGUACAUCUCACCUUUUUGGUUUGGAACCAUGUUUGUCUUGUUACCAUUGUUUUUUUCAUACAUAGAAAAUAAAUGCAACCUGUCAAAUAA